rnacentral:pre_miRNA from 1 species
UAUGUACUCCCUCCGUCCGAAAAUACUUGUCAUCAAAAUGGACAAAAAGGGAUGUAUCUAGAACUAAAAUAUGUCUAGAUACAUCUCUUUUUAUUCAUUUCGAUGACAAGUAUUUCCGGACGGAGGGAGUAUUUU